rnacentral:rRNA from 1 species
CAGAUCGCAUGAUCAGCUUUUGAAAGGCGGCGUAAGCUGUCGCUAAGGGAUGGCCCCGCGGUGCAUUAGCUAGUUGGUAAGGUAACGGCUUACCAAGGCGACGAUGCAUAGCCGAGUUGAGAGACUGAUCGGCCACAUUGGGACUGAGACACGGCCCAAACUCCUACGGGAGGCAGCAGUAGGGAAUCUUCCACAAUGGACGCAAGUCUGAUGGAGCAACGCCGCGUGAGUGAAGAAGGUUUUCGGAUCGUAAAGCUCUGUUGUUGGUGAAGAAGGAUAGAGGUAGUAACUGGCCUUUAUUUGACGGUAAUCAACCAGAAAGUCACGGCUAACUACGUGCCAGCAGCCGCGGUAAUACGUAGGUGGCAAGCGUUGUCCGGAUUUAUUGGGCGUAAAGCGAGCGCAGGCGGAAAAAUAAGUCUAAUGUGAAAGCCCUCGGCUUAACCGAGGAACUGCAUCGGAAACUGUUUUUCUUGAGUGCAGAAGAGGAGAGUGGAACUCCAUGUGUAGCGGUGGAAUGCGUAGAUAUAUGGAAGAACACCAGUGGCGAAGGCGGCUCUCUGGUCUGCAACUGACGCUGAGGCUCGAAAGCAUGGGUAGCGAACAGGAUUAGAUACCCUGGUAGUCCAUGCCGUAAACGAUGAGUGCUAAGUGUUGGGAGGUUUCCGCCUCUCAGUGCUGCAGCUAACGCAUUAAGCACUCCGCCUGGGGAGUACGACCGCAAGGUUGAAACUCAAAGGAAUUGACGGGGGCCCGCACAAGCGGUGGAGCAUGUGGUUUAAUUCGAAGCAACGCGAAGAACCUUACCAGGUCUUGACAUCUAGUGCAAUCUGUAGAGAUACGGAGUUCCCUUCGGGGACGUUAAGACAGGUGGUGCAUGGCUGUCGUCAGCUCGUGUCGUGAGAUGUUGGGUUAAGUCCCGCAACGAGCGCAACCCUUGUUAUUAGUUGCCAGCAUUAAGUUGGGCACUCUAAUGAGACUGCCGGUGACAAACCGGAGGAAGGUGGGGAUGACGUCAAGUCAUCAUGCCCCUUAUGACCUGGGCUACACACGUGCUACAAUGGGCAGUACAACGAGAAGCAAGCCUGCGAAGGCAAGCGAAUCUCUGAAAGCUGUUCUCAGUUCGGACUGCAGUCUGCAACUCGACUGCACGAAGCUGGAAUCGCUAGUAAUCGCG